rnacentral:rRNA from 1 species
AGCUUUGAAUUCCGCGAAUGCGGUCUGGUAGGGGAGCGUUCUUCACGGGCUGAAGGUGUGUCGUAAGGCAUGCUGGACUGUGGAGAAGUGAUUAUGCUGACAUGAGUAACGAUAAAACGGGUGAAAAACCCGUUCGCCGUAAACCCAAGGUUUUCCGGGUAAAGGUAAUCUUCCCGGAGUUAGUCGGCCCCUAAGGCGAGGCUGAAAGGCGUAGCUGAUGGGAAACGUGUUAAUAUUCACGUACUUGUGUGUUCGCGCGAUGAAGGGACGCAGGAAGAUAGGCAAGCCGGGCGCUGGUUGUCCCGGUGCAAGCGUGUAGGGAUGAGAAGUUGGCAAAUCCGCUUUUCUCUAUCCUGAGACGCGAGUCCGUGACCGAAAGGUCUGAAGUUGUUGAGUCUAUGCUGCCUAGAAAAGCUUCUAAGUAUAGGACACGCAAACCGUACCGGAAACCAACUCAGGUGGGUGGGAUGAAUAAUCCAAGGCGCUCGAGAGAACUCUGGCCAAGGAACUCGGCAAAAUAACCCCGUACCUUCGGAAGAAGGGGUGCUUUUUAGGGUGAAGCGAUUCACUCUGUCGAGCCCUGAAAAGCCGCAGAGAAAUGGUGGUGGCGACUGUUUACUAAAAACAUAGGUCUGUGCCAAGUCGUAUAGACGACGUAUACGGACUGACGCCUGCCCGGUGCUGGAAGGUUAAAAGGAGGAGUCAGCGCAAGCGAAGCUCCGAAUUGAAGCCCCAGUAAACGGCGGCCGUAACUAUAACGGUCCUAAGGUAGCGAAAUUCCUUGUCGGGUAAGUUCCGACCUGCACGAAUGGCGUAACGAUCUCCACACUGUCUCGGCCAGAGACUCGGUGAAAUUGAAGUCGCGGUGAAAAUGCCGUGUACCCGCAGAAAGACGGAAAGACCCUGUGCACCUUUACUAUAGCUUGACAUUGGGAUUUGAGCCUGCAUGUGUAGCAUAGGUGGGAGGCUGUGAACUCUGUACGCCAGUAUGGAGGGAGCCAUCGUUGAAAUACCACCCUUGUUUGUUCAGGUCCCUAACUCCUUGCCGUGAUCCGGUAGGAGGACAGUGUCUGGUGGGUAGUUUGACUGGGGCGGUCGCCUCCCAAAAUGUAACGGAGGCAUGCAAAGGUUCCCUCAGGCUGAUUGGAAACCAGCCGUCGAGUGCAAACGCAAAAGGGAGCUUGACUGCAAGAGAGACAUCUCGAGCAGGUACGAAAGUAGGUGUUAGUGAUCCGGUGAUCCCGAAUGGAAGGGUCAUCGCUCAUUGGAUAAAAGGUACGCCGGGGAUAACAGGCUGAUCGCAUCCAAGAGUUCACAUCGACGAUGCGGUUUGGCACCUCGAUGUCGGCUCAUCACAUCCUGGGGCUGAAGCAGGUCCCAAGGGUACGGCUGUUCGCCGUUUAAAGUGGUACGCGAGCUGGGUUUAAAACGUCGUGAGACAGUUUGGUCCCUAUCUUCUGUGGGCGUAGGAGAAUUGAAAGGGCCUGUCCCUAGUACGAGAGGACCGGGAUGGACACACCACUGGUGGACCUGUUGUCGUGCCAACGGCACAGCAGGGUAGCUAUGUGUGGAAGGGAUAACC